rnacentral:misc_RNA from 1 species
GUCGAUAUUGCAUCUCUACUAGAUGAUUAAGAAGGAGGAGAGAGAUAAGCCCUUAAGCCUCCUCGCUGCACACCCCAUCCCCCCUCAUUUUGCUUCUGGAUCUUUUGAAAAGAGUCAAAUCAAAACCAGUACUAAACUCUUUUGAUUUUUAUAGUGCCUUCUGCUGUCUAACUGUACUCUCUGGUGUAUCAGUUGGAUAAGAAGUUGUAGACUAUUUGAUUACUUCUACAUCUAGCCACUUCAUGCCCUAAAUGCUACAGAUACCUUGAAGUAUAAUUGGCAUGUUGAUGGUCAUAUUGUUAUGAAAUUGUACUUUUCAAGUUAACGGCGUUUCUUAUUCAAUCCAUUUCAAGCAGUUAUUUCAUUUUAAACAUAGAUGCGCCUUAUCUUAAAUUAUCCUUGGAUAAUCCAGAGCUCUCUAUCUUUCCUGUUUCCAUAUUGCUUCAGCAGAUACUUUUAAUUACCUGUCUGCUAACCCAUAAAUAUCAUUUUUUCACUUGCCAAAUAUUCUUCUGGGUUUUGUAUGCUAUUUUUCUUACUGUUUAUUUGCUCAACCAUUUGAAGCUUGAUUUGUUGUUUGUUUUGCUCCAAACAUUUUCUAAACUUGUUUACCUCUGUUUAUGUUCAAUAGCGAACUUCCCUCUUAGCCUUUCUUUGUUAUGCGAUUACAGUAAGUGCUGAGGUUUUCUUUUGUCGUCACUUUAACAGCCAUUUUUGUGCAAUUAUUGGAUUAGAUACGUAGGGUUUUCAAGCAUUUUUAAGUUACGAAAGAUGUUUUGCAGGAAUGAAUGAUGGUGGUCCUAUAGAAAUGAAAUAUUUUCAUUUCUGACAGAAACUUAAGCUGUUGAUAUGUAAAUUUUAUUUGCUUGAUUUGUUGUUCAUAUUGACUGGCUGCUUUCAAGUUUCAACGCCCAGUUCAUAUUGACUAGUCCUUGUCAAUAACCCCAGAAUUAGGCACCUCUGGAUAUUUUGUUUUUUUGCCAAUUCUUAUUAGUUGUGAUAUUUAUUGAGAUGAAUUUGUUUCAGUAAGAUGCUUAUAGACCUCAGUUAUGGUGCUAUUGAAAGCCGUUCCCCUUGCUGAAUCCAGUUUUGUGUCCUUGCCAGGCAUGUAAAAAACUUGGUAAGAUUGAGCUUUCUGACUGUGAAUUGUAUGCCUCUUGUGAGCCAUGCCCAAUGUGCUUCGGUGCUGUCCACCUUUCAAGAAUUAAGGUGUAUUAUGCUUUUAUUUAGUUGUGCCCUAUGUUUCUUGUCUUCAUGGUUUAAGGCAUAACAGUUUGUAGUGUUUUGUUGUC